GUUAUCAACAAAAGCUUAACAGACCCUUCCAUACUUUCCCAUUGAAGCCCUAAACAACCACCCCCUUUCGUUAAAUUGAUUUACAAACCUUUACCUCUGGCUCUUCCCCUCGAAUUAAUAAUUAUUGAGCAUUAGUACUUUGCCCCCAACCAGUGGACCCAAGUUAGAAGAGAAAAAGCAUUUCCUCCCAACAGUUUUGACAACUGAGGAUGAGCUGGUUGAGAGACUGCAGCUGAGAUCCCGUGACCUCUGACCAAGCUGGUUAAGGAAGUCCUGGUAAGGAAUGCGGAACUAACAAGGUACCACCAACCGGAAGAAUUCGGAGAAGGUCAAAGGAGAGAGGAGACGCCAGUCCAUCUGUCCUACCAACCUCCCAGAAUCCUUCUUGCUGGAAUCCAUCUUGGCUGAGUGAUGCGUGUGCCACCAGGAAGGACCCUGAGUCAGAAUGACUGGCCAGAGACAACCUGGAAACUAAUCUCAUCACCGUAAAACCCGAGACUGCGAGCCACGUGGCAGAGCAGUCCUCCUGGGUUCUCUUACCCUCCUGCUCUCCACCCGGGAGCC